rnacentral:rRNA from 1 species
AGUCACUGACAUUAGAUACCCGUGUAGUCCCAGCCGUAAACAAUGUGCGUUAGGUGUGUCGGUAACCACGCGUUACUGAUGCGCCGAAGAGAAAUCGUGAAACGCACCACCUGGGGAGUAUGUCCGCAAGGAUGAAACCUAAAGGAAUUGGCGGGGGAGCACCGCAACGGGAGGAGCGUGCGGUUCAAUUGGAUUCAACGCCGAAAAACUCACCAGGAGCGACGGAUAUAUGAAGGUCAAGCUGAUGACUUUACCUGAUUUUCCG